ACCAUGUGACCCAGAUUUGGAUCUCUUUACAAACAAACAAACGAACAAUAAAUGUAUUUAAUUUAAUUAAGGACAUACUGGAUCAGUCCAUAAAACAUUCCUGCUAAAAGACAACAAAUCUAACAGCAGCAUUGUGAACUUUGCAGCCGUAGAUAUCAACCAUCCGUUAAAGGGCUCUUGCUUGUGGCACUGCAGCAGAUGCUGUCAACGGAAAAGAGAGCGAGUCACCUACAACUCCCAUAAAGCACUCUCCCAGCUGGUGUUAAAAUUCCUGGCUGUGUGUACCUUUGCUAAGAGACUAAAAGUAACCUGUGUGCCCGCCCAUGUGUCAGAAGACGGGAUGUUGCCAGGCAGACAAGAAGACACAGCAGUAUUUAAACACUCUGAGUCAUCAUAAAUCUCUCAGAGGGACUUCCACUCUUAUCAGGAUGACUGUGGGCGUCAGUGAGCUUCUGUCUCCUGACUACACGGCUGUUCAUUAGAAGAAGAAGAAGAAGAAGAAGCUGCUGUUACUCAACCUUUAAGACCUCAGAACCAAACACCUCAUAGUGAUACACAGCUGCUGCAUAAUGAUACCUAAUGAAUCUACGGUGCAUCACCUCACAGGGCACUCCAUCCUGACCCUGGUGCAGUUUGAAUCUUUGAAGGGAGGCCAGACCGUGCUGGCAGCAGCAGCAGCAGCAGCAGACUGGAUUACAGAUACUGCAGCACAACCUCCACAGAGACCUGUGGGCAGCUUCAGAGAGAGAAACAACAGCCGUGAUUCAAUACUGAGAUUGAAUCAGCUGGACAACAAUAAACACACUGAAAACAAUGUCAACCUCCAGAUGAACCACACACAAGCCAACAUGUGAGAAGAGGCAGAGGAGGAAGCUGGAGGAAGUCAACAGCAGAGAGAUGUGGAGCUGUUGAUGUUGAUCACAGUUAACACUUGAGACAUGUUUUCACCUGAUGUCACGCCCUUGAUCAGACUGCUACUGCUGACAUUGACUGAUUUAUUUCAAUAAUUGAUGACAGUUCACUUGUUUAAUACAAUUAGUACUAUCUUAAACUGUUGUUUAAGAAAAUAUUCAAAUUCAAUGCGCUGACUAACAUCAAUUAAAUACAUGCUUUUGUUAAAUA